UACAACAGAUAUAUUCGAGUUGCAUAUCACUUUCCUUCACUAACAAGUCUUUUCUUCUAGUUGUUUUCUUACUAUCGUCCUGUUUUAUUUCGUUUCUUUUUUCUGUUAUUAAAUUUUAUCCGAUACUUUACCCAAUUGCUUUCGAAUCUUUAUACAUUAUUUUCCACUGAAUUUUCGAAUGCAACCUUCCUUAUUGAUUAUGUUUAUAUUAUCUUUACGAACGUUUGAAGCGAUUGAUUAAUUAGGAUCGAUAGAUUUUAUACGAAUAGAUACAUAUCUUCCACAGAAAUAGCGGUCGAUCGAGGCUCAUGUUCACGUGACAAUAUAAUGUUGAGAAAAUCUAGCAAGUGAAUGGCUUCGCAUCAAUGUGAAACCUUUGCGAGGUAAAACAAUGCUGCGAAGUCAGCAACAAUUGCACAGUACCAUUUACAACGAUUUCCAGUUUCUGCCAUUGAUUUAAGCUAAAUUAAAUAUUCCUAUCGUCACACACGUUUCUCAUUUCAUUGAUACGCGAGAAUAAAUAUUUGAAUUUGAUUGCUUUAAAUACUCCUUUCGCUAAUUUACAUGUCGACAUUAACAAGUUGGAAAGUAUCAAAAAAGAAAUUUGGAUAUUAUUAGAAAGUAAUCUUGAAAAAUUAGUCAAGAUCGAAUAAAAGUUUCUUAGUUCUAAGCUUAUUAAAUAUUUUCGUAUUAAAUUUUUUUAAUGAAAUUUUUUUUUCAGUAAUAAUCGAAUCAUUAUGCUGUUGAAGAAAUAGGGCACGGGAAUUGAAUGAACAAAGAAGAUAUCGCCUCUUUGAUGGCGAUAUUAUUACCCUGACAUUUGAAUCGUGCGAGUACCGGAAGUAUUAGUUUCACCAUAACGCUCUUGCCUUUGUUAUAAAAAGAACAGGCUGUUUAUUGACCCGAGCGUCUUGCAAUUUAAUAACGCGUAUAUAAUUUGCUUUUCUAUAAGUAAGUUCCAAGUUAUUACAACUUUUUAUUAAUAUUUCUCUCUUUCUCCCUAAAAAUUAUAAAACUUAAUAAACUAUAGAGAGUCAACUAGAAUAUGCGAUACUCAGUUCUUAAUUCAGAUCAUUGCAACCUAUCAUGGAUUCCAUUGUGUUCAUAGAAUCCAUUGUUCUUUAAACCACUUUCAACAGGUUUCUAGUAAUAAAUCUUUUAUGCGAUAUCGACUGUCCGAUUUGCGAAAGCAGCGACAGAGUUGAAUAAUAGUGUUUUAAUAGAGUGCAAAGCGAAGAUGUAAUCGUUAAAUAAUUGACUAGAGUCUGCCAAGAGAAAGGAAUAUGUACGUAUGUACUUGGCUCGAAUCCGGAAGUUGGCGUCUGGCACGUGUCGCCAUGAAUUUUGCGGUUUAUCCUUUGAAGCAACCGUAUCUGUACUCGAGCCAAAUGGUAAACAAUCGGUCAGAUAAUGCCAGACGUAAUCCCAUUUUAUAAUGUUACGUAACAAAGCACUCGAUCGAAUGUCACGGAAAGAAAUUUUCACUCGGAAUGAUUUAAGAUUCUGUAAAUAAUUCAACGUUGAUAACACAUUGAUAUCAUAAAUAAUUGAUAACUACGUUGCGUGUUCCUUUACCGUAAAAAGGUACAGUAAGGUGAAAAAAUUUCUAGACUAUUGUUUGAAUCUUGUUUGCCUGUUUAAGCUCUGUCGCUUUUGUUUCCUAUUGUAUUUUUGUUUCAAGCUAAAUCCUAACUGUCUGGGAAUUUUUGGACAGCCUUGUUUAUUUAGAUUUUGGUACUUUUCCUCGAUUUUGCAAUAAACAGGGAUACCGCUGAAUUUUUAAACCUAUUUAAUUUAAGUAGUUUCUUUCUGUUGUGCAAUUUAUUGCAUCAUAUCUACUAAUUAGCGUCUCCAGGCAAAUUUCGCUCCGAUUGAUUUAAAUGCAAACUCUAGAGAGAUUAGCAAGGAUUUAAUUCCUGCUUUCUUAUUUGACUCCUUUUUUUUUAAUUAAGAAAUGAUUGAAACGUCUUUAAUUAAAAAGAAUUCUUAAAAUAUAUUGCGGUAUCCUAAAUUGCUUUCAACUGUUUUUCGCUCUUUGUCUGAGAAAAUUUCGUUACUUAUACGACACAGAAGUAUUCAAAAUGUAAUUUCCAUGAAAUUAUUACCCACUUAUUAAACGUUUAUUUCUUUCGACAGAGUGAGUCGUCAUCUACCACAUAUGAAACGAUAUAAAUCCAAUAAAAUCGUAACGAAACAAAUAUCAAAAUAAGAAGGGGAACAAAUACUUUAACGUCAAGAGAAAAAUAAAGAAAACAGGAAAUAUUCAAAUAAAGUAUCCACAGUACUCGUUACAGUAUUCAGAGAGUAAAAUAAAUCCCUACAUAAUUUCCAUUCCUUCAAUUAUGUUCAUAAAAAUACAAAUUCGUAUAGACAAGCCCACACUCUAAUUAUUAUCACUCAUAGGACGAAGUUCUCAAACAAGGAGCGAUCGUUUGUUUAUGAAAGCGUCGCCAGUAAAAAGAUAAAGCGAUUACGUACCGAAAGGCCUGAUUGGAUGUCGGCUCCACAGAUAGCUACGUUUAACAGGACUGAGGUAACUGUCCCUCAGAUAAAACGGGGUAACUCUCGCAGCAUAGUUGGGAAUAUAGGGAGCAAA